rnacentral:tRNA from 1 species
CCGCCGCUGCCCUUAAGUGAGCAAGAUAUUUUUAGUGCAAGCUUGCAGGCAAUGUGGCCGAUUUAUACGGGUGGGCA